GACGAACGCUGGCGGCAUGCCUAACACAUGCAAGUCGAGCGAGCAGAUCCCUUCGGGGUGAAGCUAGCGGCGGACGGGUGAGUAACACGUGGGCAACCUACCUCAUAGAGGGGAAUAGCCUUCCGAAAGGAAGAUUAAUACCGCAUAAGAUUGUAGCUUCGCAUGAAGCAGCAAUUAAAGGACCAGUCCGCUAUGAGAUGGGCCCGCGGCGCAGUAGCUAGUUGGUGAGGUAACGGCUAACCAAGGCGAGGAGGCGUAGCCGACCUGAGAGGGUGAGCGUCCACAUUGGGACUGAGACACGGCCCAGACUCCUACGGGAGGCAGCAGUGGGGAAUAUUGCACACUGGGGGAAACCCUGAUGCAGCAAUGCGGCGUGAGUGAUGACGGCCUUCGGGUUGUAAAGCUCUGUCUUCGGGGACGAUAAUGACGGUACCCGAGGAGGAAGCCACGGCUAACUACGUGCCAGCCGCCGCGGUAAUAC
rnacentral:rRNA from 1 species